rnacentral:rRNA from 1 species
GACGAACGCUGGCGGCGUGCUUAACACAUGCAAGUCGAGCGGAGCGGCGAACUGGUGAGUAACGCGUGAGUAACUGCCCCCCUCUCUGUGAUAACAGUUGUAAACUGCUGCUCAUCCCUGAUAGUGGGGGAUGCCUCUCGUCCUAUCAGCUUGUUGGUGGGGUAGUUGCCUACCACGGCGACGACGGGUAGCCGGCCUGAGAGGGCGACCGGCCACAUUGGGCUGAGAUAGGGCCCAAACUCCUACGGGAGGCAGCAGUGGGGAAUAUUGCACAAUGGGGGAAACCCUGAUGCAGCAACGCGCGUGCGGGAUGACGGCCUUCGGGUUGUAAACCGCUUUCAGCCAUGACGCGGUAGUGGCAGAAGAAGCACCGGCUAACGACGUGCCAGCAGCCGCGGUAAUAC